rnacentral:lncRNA from 1 species
GCCGGAAGUCUCUGCUGGAUCGUGCUGCCCUUGCUGACUCCUGUUUGGUGACACCUUUGAACUGGACGGUUGGUAUCCUGACAAACGGAGACUGGAAUCAACCCCAAAGAACUACUUCUAAACAGGAAUCCCUACGCUCCACUCGAUGUUUGGCUGUGGGUCUCUGCAUCAGCUUCAAACAGGUGCUGAGUGGAACAGGUGCUAGGCUCCUGUCUGCAAGUAAGCAGAAUAGCAUCUGCUAACAGGCCAAGAUGAGAGAGGUUCAGAAUUGGUACCUAGGGCAUCAACCCCAGGAGACUCUCACCAGAUGUAAAUGGAUGAGCGACAGGAUGAAAACACUGUUCCUGUCUCACCUGUAGAUCUGAGAGAGAUGAAGGAGGGCUCCCUCAGAAAAGAACUUGAAAUAGGCAUUCUCAGACAAACAUCCUUGAGUUUGCUUCUUAUGCCCCUCUCUCUAUUUUGUACCCCUCCUUCCUAUCUGUGCCAUUCCCUCACAUCUGUGCCACUCCCUCCCACCUGGCUCCUCCCUCCUACCUAUGCCCCUCCCUCCCACUUGGGCCUCUCCCUCCAGUCUGGGUUCCUCCCUCCCAUCUGGGACCCUCUCUCCCUCCUUUUAGUUUUAUGAGUCCUGCCCCUGACUUCACUGGCUUUCCCUCCGGUUUCCUUUCUGAAAAUCAUACUCCAUCAGCAUCAUUCACUGAAAAAACGACAUGUCUGUAGCUGGAAGCGCUGGAUGGUGGAUCUCAGCCCUGGAGGCUCAGCCUCUGCCCUGAGGAGCCCCCUGGAAGUCAUGCUACACAGGGGAACACCCCACCUCCAAUGUGCACUGAUUCUCGCUGGCAAGUACAUAAAGCUGUCUCCAACACGUUGUUCUAAUUUUUGCGUUCUCUAAAGAGAAUUGUACCCAAAAAAGCGACCUUUAAAAAAAAUUUUUUUUGAAUGAGAAAGAAGUAUACAGCAAUUGCAGAAAACCAAUCCACUCUCCUA